CAGGCUUCAUUUGGAGUCGGUCCUGGCUGUUGCUCAGGUGACCAGCUUGUGUCUCUGGGAGGGCACUGCUUUCCCCGGCCACCCGGUGCGAUGAUCCAGAAUGUCGGAAAUCACCUGCGACGGCUCUCUUUGGAAGGAGAAAUCGCAGAGCCCCUGGGCUGGUUUAUUAUUGGCAGCAAUCUCCAAGCAAGCCCCAGGGGCUGUCAGAUCCCCCACGGGGUGGCUGUGUUGAGUGGAAUCACCUUCAGCAAGUGUUGGCCUCUGGAAUUCUAUUCGGGCUUGGCCUCUGUGUUCUCCAGCCGUACAUCCCGGAAGUCAGCCUUACGUGCAGGGAACGACAGUGCCAUGGCAGACAGCGAGGGAUACCGGAACCCCACGGAGGUGCAGAUGAGCCAGCUGGUGCUGCCCUGCCAUACCAACCAACGCGGCGAGCUGAGCGUCGGGCAGCUGCUCAAGUGGAUUGACACCACGGCCUGCCUAUCUGCGGAGAGGCACGCUGGCUGCCCCUGUGUCACAGCUUCCAUGGAUGACGUCUAUUUUGAGCACACCAUUAGUGUUGGACAAGUGGUGAAUAUCAAGGCCAAGGUGAACCGGGCCUUCAACUCCAGCAUGGAGGUGGGCAUCCAGGUGACCUCGGAGGACCUGUGCUCUGAGAAGCAGUGGAAUGUGUGCAAGGCCUUGGCCACCUUCGUGGCCCGCCGAGAGAUCACCAAGGUGAAGCUGAAGCAGAUCACGCCGCGGACAGAGGAGGAGAAGAUGGAGCACAGUGUGGCGGCUGAGCGCCGGCGCAUGCGCCUUGUCUAUGCGGACACCAUCAAGGACCUCCUGGCCAACUGCGCCAUUCAGGACGAUCUGGAGAGCAGAGACUGUAGCCGCAUGGUGCCGGCUGAGAAGACCCGUGUGGAGAGUGUGGAGCUGGUCCUGCCUCCCCACGCCAAUCACCAGGGCAACACCUUCGGGGGCCAGAUCAUGGCCUGGAUGGAGAAUGUGGCCACCAUUGCAGCCAGGUAAGGGCAGAGUGUGCUGCCUCUGCCUCCCCUCCUUUCUCCUCCUCCUCCCCUUGGCCACCUCCCUCUGGAGGGGAAACCCCAGCUUGGGGUUGGCAUUCAAGGCUUCAGAAGCUUGGCUGUUCUGAAUCAGAGAAAUGAAUUUUUGUGAACUGACCAUUCCUUGUUCUACUAAAAAAGCUAGCAUCUUUUACAUGGGAAACACCAGGUCUCUUGGCCUGGCACUAGAUCCUCCCCUUGAUCUGGCCCUACCUGCACUCCUUCUAGUAUCUAUGUUCCCUUCACAUCAAGCCAUUUGCCGUUCUCUGUUGCCGUCCUCCACUUUCCCAGCCCCUGCCUUUGCUCCUGAUGUAGCCUCCUGCUGUGCUUCCCCUACUCGUCUUUGUCUGCUAAUAUCCUUCCCACUUCCUCCAUAAAGCCAUCUCUGACUGUUCCCUUCUUCUAAGGGGUGAAAAUUGUUUUCUCUCCUCUAACAUCUGUUUCUGUCCGGGGCUUGUUCUACCCUAAAUAUCAGGGUAUUUUUUAUAGUUAUGGUAACUGACCUUCACUAAUUGACACUCUCACACCUCCAAGACUUUGCUCUUGCUGUUCCCUCUACCAGGAGUGCCUUUCCCAACCCAUUCCCUUCCCAGCCAGGUGGAUUCCUCCUUCUUAUUCAGAGUCUGGCUUAAAUGGCCCCUCCUCCAGUUUAACCUGUGGGAGACAGUGCAUAAGCAAUGCUGUUUUGGGCAGGCCUGGCUAUGAGUGCGGUAAGAUCCUGGAGGAGCCUCAUGGUCAGGGAAGGCUGCCUGAAGGAAGAGCACUUCAGCUGGGACUUGAAUGCCAAGUAGCUUUGGGUAAGGGGAGGGCUUCUGGAUAGUGGGAACAGCAGCUACCAAGGUGUAAAAGUUGGAAGGAAAAUGGGAAAGGGGUUUACCUCAAGCCCUGCUUUCUUCUGUCCCCUCAAACCUGGCUCCUUUCCAGCCAUGCAUAGACCUCAGUAUUCUAAGCUAUGAAAUGGGACUUUAGUUCUGUGCCUCUGAGCAGAACUGCCUCUGGGUUGGGUGGCAGUGGGUGGGUCAGAAUGUGUAGUUCCAGGCUGGGUCUGGGGAUGGGACCAGGGUAGAAGGCCAGCCCAAGCUGGCCUAGCGUGGUGGCUCACACCUGUAAUCCCAGCACUGUGGGAGGCUGAGGCCACUUAGGCCAGGAGUUCAAGACCAGCCUGGCAACAAGGUAAAACCUCAUCUCUACUAAAUAUACAAAAAUUAGCCAAGUGUGGUGGUGCGUGCCUGUAGUCUCAGCUACUUGGGAGGCUGAGGCAGGAGAGUCACUUGAACCUGGGAGGCGGAGGUUGCAGUGAGCUGAGAUUGCACCAAUGCAUUCCAGCCUGGGCAACAGAGUGAAACCCUGUCUCAAAAAAAAAAAAAAAAGAGA
rnacentral:sRNA from 1 species